rnacentral:lncRNA from 1 species
GCCACAGCAUCAGCAUUAUCAGCUUGGGUAACCGGUGGUGAGAACAGUCUACCACUCCUGGUGAAUCGCCCGAUUCCUCCAACAUUAUCCACUAUGGGACCGUCAAGUUCAGGCUUCUGACCCUCUUCUACUUUCAGUGGCCGUUCCACCCUAUGAUCGUGCGUAUACACGCUCCCCCCAUAAUGCCAUGGAAUGGCCCUUUCACUGGUGAAGGGUAAAGGACCAGGGGUUGUGAUGGUCAUAGUAGAUCGUUGCACUGGUGGCACGGGUUGCGCUU